GUGAAAUGCCGAAGUUCUAUAUGUCCUUAUGUGGUACAACUCCAUUAUCUCCUGGAAUAGUAGUGAGUCGAAUGCUUUGCCCUGGUCUGUUAACAAUGCAUGCGGAGCUCCAAAUAUGGAGAAUACAUGCGUUAUCAGAGCUUGUGCUAUUUCAUCCGCUGUUUGUUUGAACAAUGGAACUAUUACAGGCCAACCUGAAAAUGCUUCCACUGCUACUAAUAUGUACUCGUGUCCUUCUUUGCUUCUAGGAUUGAUUGGUCAACAUAUAUCCACAUGCCACCUUCCGUGUAACAUUCCUUCCUGGAAUAAUUUAAGCGGUGCUUUAGUCAUUCUGUGUGGACCUUUGAACUUGGCACACACUCUGCAUUCAGAUAUUACUCCGUAUAUAUCAUUAAACAUUCCGGGCCACCAGAAGAACCUUUUAAGGAUGUUCAAACUUUCUGUAUAAUACUCCACCGUUUAUAGUGAGAGAUUUGAACUGUAGCCACAAGGUUCUUGUUUUGCUUCCACACUGGGCUAUCUCCUGAAAGUCUGGUCUGACUCCAUCCUCUACAGCCAAAAAUAUGGGCAUUAUGGAUUCGUCCAAAACUUGUGCUUUGUGUAUGUCACUUGGUGUCAAUCCAUUUGGGACUACUGUUGUCCAGUUUACUUUUACAUUAUCCGCGUUUUCACAUGGUCUCCUAGAUAAUGCAUCAGCAUGUCCUAUACUGGUUCCUUUUACGUGGAUAACCUGGAAUUUAUAUGGUGCUAGUCUUUCCAGCCAUCUAGCCAACUUGCCUGUGGGGUUCUUAAAAUU